rnacentral:rRNA from 1 species
AGAGUUGAUCCUGGCUCAGGAUGAACGCUAGCGACAGGCUAACACAUGCAAGUCGAGGGCAGCAUAAAAGUAGCAAUACUUGGUGGCGACCGGCGCACGGGUGAGUAACGCGUAUGCAACCUACCUAUCAGAGGGGAAUAACCCGGCGAAAGUCGGACUAAUACCGCAUAAAACAGGGGCACCGCAUGGUGAUAUUGUUAAAGAAAUUCGCUGAUGGAUGGGCAUGCGUUCCAUUAGGUAGUUGGUGAGGUAACGGCUCACCAAGCCGACGAUGGAUAGGGGAACUGAGAGGUUGGUCCCCCACACUGGUACUGAGACACGGACCAGACUCCUACGGGAGGCAGCAGUGAGGAAUAUUGGUCAAUGGGCGGGAGCCUGAACCAGCCAAGUCGACCGUGAAGGAAGAAGGAUCUAUGGUUCGUAAACUUCUUUUGCAGGGGAAUAAAGUGCAGGACGUGUCCUGUUUUGUAUGUACCCUGAGAAUAAGGAUCGGCUAACUCCGUGCCAGCCGCCGC